rnacentral:rRNA from 1 species
GACGAACGCUGGCGGCGUGCCUAAUACGUGCAAGUCGAACGCAUUUUCUUUCACCGUAGCUUGCUACACCGAAAGAAAAUGAGUGGCGAACGGGUGAGUAACACGUGGGUAACCUGCCCAUCAGCGGGGGAUAACACUUGGAAACAGGUGCUAAUACCGCAUAAUUCCAUUUACCGCAUGGUAGAUGGGUGAAAGGCGCUUUUGCGUCACUGAUGGAUGGACCCGCGGUGCAUUAGCUAGUUGGUGGGGUAACGGCCUACCAAGGCUGCGAUGCAUAGCCGACCUGAGAGGGUGAUCGGCCACACUGGGACUGAGACACGGCCCAGACUCCUACGGGAGGCAGCAGUAGGGAAUCUUCGGCAAUGGACGCAAGUCUGACCGAGCAACGCCGCGUGAGUGAAGAAGGUUGUCGGAUCGUAAAACUCUGUUGUUAGAGAAGAACAAGGAUGAGAGUGGAAAGUUCAUCCCUUGACGGUAUCUAACCAGAAAGCCACGGCUAACUACGUG